rnacentral:rRNA from 1 species
AUUGAACGCUGGCGGCAUGCCUUACACAUGCAAGUCGAACGGCAGCACGGGAGCAAUCCUGGUGGCGAGUGGCGAACGGGUGAGUAAUGUAUCGGAACGUACCUUUCAGUGGGGGAUAACGUAGCGAAAGUUACGCUAAUACCGCAUAUUCUGUGAGCAGGAAAGCAGGGGAUCGCAAGACCUUGCGCUGAUUGAGCGGCCGAUAUCAGAUUAGCUAGUUGGUGAGGUAAAGGCUCACCAAGGCGACGAUCUGUAGCGGGUCUGAGAGGAUGAUCCGCCACACUGGAACUGAGACACGGUCCAGACUCCUACGGGAGGCAGCAGUGGGGAAUUUUGGACAAUGGGCGCAAGCCUGAUCCAGCCAUGCCGCGUGAGUGAAGAAGGCCUCGGUGUAA